UACACACCGCCCGUCACACCAUGGGAGUUGGCUUUACCUGAAGACGGUGCGCUAACCGCAAGGAGGCAGCCGGCCACGGUAGGUCAGCGACUGGGGUG
rnacentral:rRNA from 1 species